GACAGAGGUGCCAAGCGUUAGGCGGAAUCACUGGGCUUAAAGCGUGUGUAGGCGGAUCGUUAAGUGACCUUGUGAAUCCCACGGCUCAACCGUGGAACUGCUCGGUAUACUGGCGGUCUUGGAGCACUUAGGGGCUAACCGGAACAAAUGGUGGAGCGGUGAAAUGCGUAGAUAUCAUUGGAACGCCAUGUGAAACAGGUAGCUGGGAGUGAUGCUGACACUGGAGACACG
rnacentral:rRNA from 1 species